GGUGACAAAUACACUUAUUGGAGUACUCAAGGUAAGUGAUUUCCGUAGUCACUUCUUAGUUUGUUUAAGUAAUACAACGCUUUAUAUAAUUAGACAUGAUGUUUGAUGUCAAUUAUGCGUUGAAGUCUUUCAUUGUGCAUAAUGGGAAUAAAACUAUAAGGAAGCUAUUCGAUUAGUGUAAUGGUUAUGGUCUAGUGUGAAAAUGUGGAGUAUGGUUUUGUAUGUCAUAAACCACUUAAUGCGUAAAUAACCAUAACGGGUCGAAAAUAAGCAUUUGAGCGAAAAUGGGUUAAGAGGAUGCAAGACAUCCGAGAAUUUAAUCUUUUAUGAUAGACGUCAACGAAAUUAUUAAGUUCAUAUGAGAUUGAGGUCAAAUAAUCAGAUUAUGUUGAUAUACGCUCGAACGGGUCAAAUAGUUAGAAAAUGAUUAUAAGUCGAAUGCAUGUAAGUUAAGAAUUUCCUUAAUCCGGAUGUAGGAUUUUAAGUUCAUAUGAAAGAAUGUGAAUUUACAAGCAUGUAGGAAGAAACGGGAGGU
rnacentral:lncRNA from 1 species